rnacentral:rRNA from 1 species
GACGAACGCUGGCGGCGUGCCUAACACAUGCAAGUCGAACGAGUGUAGAACGGGUGAGUAAUACGUGGGUAACCCGCCCCCUUUUGGGGAUAAGCCUUGGAAACGGGGUCUAAAACCGAAUAACGGGGGAUGGGCUCGCGGCCUAUCUGCUUGUUGGUGGGGUGAUGGCCUACCACGGCGGUGACGGGUAGCCGGCCUGAGAGGGUGACCGGCCACAUUGGUACUGAGAUACGGCCCAGACGCCUACGGGAGGCAGCAGUGGGGAAUUUUGGACAAUGGGCGCAAGCCUGAUCCAGCCCUGCCGCGUGUCUGAAGAAGGCCUUCGGGUUGUAAAGGACUUUUGUUGGGGAAGCGUUACCUAAAGAAUAAGCACCGGCUAACUACGUGCCAGCAGCCGCGGUAAUUC